UUGACAGGUUGACCUCGAAUCAGGUAGGAAUACCCGCUGAACUUAAGCAUAUCAAUAAGCAGAAUGAAAGCUGAACUUAA
rnacentral:rRNA from 1 species